rnacentral:rRNA from 1 species
UACGAAGGUGGCAAGCGUUGUUCGGAUUCACUGGGCGUACAGGGUGUGUAGGCGGUUUGGUAAGCCUUCUGUUAAAGCUUCGGGCCCAACCCGGAAAGCGCAGAGGGUACUGCCAGGCUAGAGGACGGGAGAGGAGCGCGGAAUUCCCGGUGUAGAGGUGAAAUUCGUAGAUAUUGGGAGGAACACCAGUGGCGAAGGCGGCUUACUGGACCGGUAUUGACGCUGAGGAGCGAAAGCCAGGGGAGCCAAA